CGAAAAAUAAUAGAAUCCGGGCAACUACGGGAAAAAGGUAGAAUCCAUGCGAGUAUCGAAAAAUUGUCCUGACGACUACCGGAAAAGGGUUGAAUCAAUGUGAGUACCGAAAAAUAGUAGAAUCCGGGAGAGUACUGGGAAAAGGUAGAAUCCGUGCGAGUAUCGAAAAAUUGUCCCGGCGAUUACAAAAAAAUGGUCGAAUCAAUGUGAGUACCGAAAAAUAAUAGAAUCCGGGCAACUACGGGAAAAAGGUAGAAUCCAUGCGAGUAUCGAAAAAUUGUCCUGACGAGUACCGGAAAAGGGUCGAAUCAGUGUGAGUACCGAAAAAUAGUAGAAUCCGGAAGAGUACCGGGAAAUGGUAG
rnacentral:lncRNA from 1 species